rnacentral:rRNA from 1 species
AACGAACGCUGGCGGCAUGCCUAACACAUGCAAGUCGAACGAGACCUUCGGGUCUAGUGGCGCACGGGUGCGUACCGCGUGGGAACAUGCCCUUAGGUUCGGAAUCACUCCCCGAAAGGGGUGCUAAUACCGGCUAAUAUCUUCGGAGCACAGAUUUAUCGCCUUUGGAUGGGCCAGAGUUUGAUUAGCUAGUUGGUAGGGUAAAAGCCUACCAAGGCGACGAGCCAUAGCUGGUCUGAGAGGAUGAUCAGCCACAUUGGGACUGAGACAGGGCCCAGACUCCGACGGGGGGCAGCAGUGUGGAAUAGUGGACAAGGGGCGAAAGCCUGAUCCAGCGAUGCCGCGUGAGUGAUGGAGGCCUUAGGGUUGUAAAGCUCUUUUACCCGGGAUGAUUAUGACAGCACCGAGAGAAUAAGCGCCGUCUAACUCCG